rnacentral:rRNA from 1 species
GAUGAACGCUGGCGGCGUGCCUAACACAUGCAAGUCGAGCGGCAGCGCGGGGUGCUUGCACCCUGUCGGCGAGCGGCGGACGGCUGAGUAACGCGUGGGAACGUGCCCCAAAGUGAGGAAUAACUGCCCGAAAGGGUAGCUAAUACCGCAUAUUAUCUUCGGAUCAAAGGAUUUAUCCGCUUUGGGAGCGGCUCGCGUCGGAUUAGGUAGUUGGUGAGGUAAUGGCUCACCAAGCCGACGAUCCGUAGCUGGUCUGAGAGGAUGACCAGCCAGACUGGAACUGAGACACGGUCCAGACUCCUACGGGAGGCAGCAGUGAGGAAUCUUCCACAAUGGGCGAAAGCCUGAUGGAGCAACGCCGCGUGCAGGACGAAGGCCUUCGGGUUGUAAAAUGCUUUUAUAAGUGAGGAAUAUGACGGUAACUUAUGAAUAAGGAUCGGCUAACUACGUG